rnacentral:sRNA from 1 species
UGACCACAACCCAUCGGGGGAGUUAAGGCCAUACGGACAGCCGGGUCAAAUGCCGA